rnacentral:tRNA from 1 species
GGGCCCGUAGUUAAAUGGAUAUAACAGGAGCCUUCUAAGCUCUAGUUCGAGGUUCGAUUCCUCGCGGGCCCACAA